CACUAGGUAACUAAAGUAAGUAUUGGUCUCUUAAACCAUAUAAUAGUAAUUAACGGAUACUCCUAUUGA
rnacentral:tRNA from 1 species